GACCACGUAGCUUAACUGGAUAGAGCACUCGACUUCUAAUCGAGGUGGUGCGAGUUCGACUCUCGUCGUGGUCC